rnacentral:rRNA from 1 species
UACGUAGGGCGCAAGCGUUGUCCAGAAUUAUUGGGCGUAAAGAGCUCGUAGGCGGCCAGUUGCGUCUGCUGUGAAAUCCCGGGGCUCAACCCCGGGCGUGCAGUGGAUACGGGCUGGCUAGAGGCAGGCAGGGGAGAACGGAAUUCCCGGUGUAGCGGUGAAAUGCGCAGAUAUCGGGAGGAACACCGGUGGCGAAGGCGGUUCUCUGGGCCUGUACUGACGCUGAGGAGCGAAAGCGUGGGGAGCGAACAGG